CGCGGCCUAUCAGCUUGUUGGAGAGGUAACGGCUCACCAAGGCUUCGACGGGUAGCUGGUCUGAGAGGAUGAUCAGCCACACUGGAACUGAGACACGGUCCAGACUCCUACGGGAGGCAGCAGUGGGGAAUCUUGCACAAUGGGCGCAAGCCUGAUGCAGCGAUGCCGCGUGCGGGAAGAAGGCCUUAGGGUUGUAAACCGCUUUCAGGAGGGAAGAAAAUGACGGUACCUCCAGAAGAAGGUGCGGCCAACUACGUGCCAGCAGCCGCGGUGACACGUAGGCACCAAGCGUUAUCCGGAUUUAUUGGGCGUAAAGAGCUCGUAGGCGGUUUGGUAAGUCGGGUGUGAAAACUCUGGGCUCAACCCAGAGAGGCCACUCGAUACUGCUACGACUAGAGUACGGUAGGGGAGCGGGGAAUUCCUGGUGUAGCGGUGAAAUGCGCAGAUAUCAGGAGGAACACCAGCGGCGAAGGCGCCGCUCUGGGCCGUAACUGACGCUGAGGAGCGAAAGCAUGGGUAGCAAACAGGAUUAGAUACCCUGGUAGUCCAUGCCGUAAACGUUGGGCACUAGGUGUGGGUCUCAACCAACGAGAUCCGCGCCGUCGCUAACGCAUUAAGUGCCCCGCCUGGGGAGUACGG
rnacentral:rRNA from 1 species